GGUUGCAUAGUGUAGUGGUUAUCACUUUUGGUUCUGAUCCAAACAACCCCGGUUCGAAUCCGGGUGCGACCU
rfam:Pichia guilliermondii ATCC 6260 scaffold_7 genomic scaffold, whole genome shotgun sequence.